rnacentral:lncRNA from 1 species
CAAAGCCCCCCGCCGUUACAUAGUUGUAUAUUCUUCGUUGUGGGUCCACCUAGUUGUGGCAUGUGGGAUGGUGCCCCAGUGUGGUUCGAUGAGCAGUGCCAUGUCCGCGCCCAGGACUCGAACCAACGAAACACUGGGCCUCCUGCAGCGGAGCGCGCGAACCCAACCACUCGGCCACGCGGCCAGCCCCGAAGUAGAAGAGGUUUUUAACAUUUCAUUGCUCUGUGUUUAAAGGAAAAAAAUCCCAAAACUUAAAUGUUUUACUUCCUAGCCUCCAUCCUCUCUUCUUUCCCCUUUUGGUUUCUUUUCUUGUUAAAAAUCUCCUUCCCCUGGCCUCAUUCUCCCCAUGAUCUUUGUCAGUAUGUUAAAUCUAACAAUUAUGUUAAAACCAAAAGGAUUUUGGUUAAAUGUGGCAGAGUGAACACAGAUGAUACUUUGCCAUCCUCCUGAAAUCCUACCAAAAUGACCAUAAGGGGGUAAAAAGUUAUAAACUCCUAAGAACAGAGAAAAUAGAAACGAUGACUUGAUAACACAAUUUAGGGAGAUGGAAAGUACACAGGUGAGCGGCACUUGACAGUCGUUGCAGACAGCUUGAGCUCAGUUUGCUUAAUGGGAAGCCACCAAGAAGCCCGCUGACGUGUGGCAUCCUUAGGAUCUACCUCUGGAAGUGAGGUUAAAGGAGAUACCUGAAACCAAGCUUGGUGUUCACAGGAACGCCCAGUCCUGCUCCCCCGAUAUGUGUUUUCCAGCAACUACUCACUCAGACACACCCCUCCACCCACCCCCACCCCCACCCAGAAGACUGGAGAGUUAUUCUCUGGGGAGACUGCCUGAGGCAGGCUUUGGGCUCAAGGACUCCAAGUACAGCUGAGGACGUGGACGAGGCACUAUGCCAGGAGUUGACAACUCCAGCCCACUACUCGUUUUUGUAAAUAAAGUUUUAUUGGAACACAGCCAACAUUGAUCUUCAUGUUGCUGUGGCUUCUUUCUCAUCACAACACAGUACAACAGCAUAGAGGGGGCCAAGCAGUUGCAACAGAGACCUAAUGGCCCACAAAGCCUAAAAUAUGUUCUAUCUGGGCCUCUGGCUAACUCCUGUUCCAGCAUGAAAGCCAGAGACUAAACAAACAGAGAAAAAGAGCUCUGAGGAAAGAAAAGACAGCGCAGGCAGCAGAAGAAAAUGUCAAAAAAUAUUUCCAUAAUUAACGUCCCUCCAGAGGUAGAAGCAUAUAUUUUAUCCAUCCAACAUGAACAAGAUGCUAUAUAAAAGGAAGAUAGAAGAAUAAAAAAAUAGUUCUUGGAAAGUAAAAUACAGAAGUGGAAAUAAAAUAAUUGAAAUAUUGGAAGACAUAAUUGAAGAAAUCUCUUGGAAAGUAGAACAAGAAAAUAGACAUAAAAAAUGGAAGACAAAACUAGGAGAUAAAUUCAAGAUGUCCAACAACUGACAAAUAGAAGUUCCAGAAAGAAAAAAUGGUGGAGGAGGAAAUCACAAAAGAAACAAUACCACAGAAGGUCCCCAAACUGAAGGACAUAAAGUUGCACAUUGAAAGAACCCACCACGUAUCAAGAGCAUCAAGUCCAUCCCUGUGCAUUUUAAGAAUGUGAGGACCGGGACAGGAUCCCAGGACUUCCCCAGAAGAAAGAGGAGGAGGGAAAAACACAAGCUGCUUUUCAAAAGUUCAGAAAUCAAGACGGCCCUGGAGUUCCCAAAAAGAAAAUCAGACGCUAGAGGAUAAUGGACCAAUGUCCUCAAAAUUCUGAAGAAGGAUUCCAACCUGGAAUUGGAUUUCCAAGGGAAUUGUUGAUUGAGCAGGACAGAACAAAGACAUAUUUGAAACGCCAGUCUCCCGGUGUCUCUGAGUCUCCCAAAGGUGUUCCCUGGCAACAUGUGAGAGCAAACAGCCAAAACUGUGGGGAAAAGGAAAAAAUCAAUGCCGAAAAUCCGUUUCAACCGCAAAGAAAAGAGAUCAAACCCGAACUUCAGAAGUAUUUACAGCAGAGCUUUUUGGAGGCAAGGUGGAAUUGGCAUCAUGUUGAGACUGAUAGCUGCAUUUCGAGAAAUACGCAGCAAAAAAGGCAGCCUGGAAAAUAAAGCAGGAGAUCUAACUCACUCCUUCACCACGUGAAACGUCUCAUUCCACACUGGCAACAGUCAGGACAGAUAAAGAACGCUUGGGCAGGGGCGCUGCCGGGAGAUAUGUAUAAGCGACCUUGGAAUUUUCCAGAAUCUCAAUCAAUCCACCAUUGAAUCGGAAUGCUCGUGGAAAUCUGGCAUAGGUUAUCCUAAAGGAUUUAAAGGACUGUCUAGAAAAUUCAGUCGUUUUGAUUACGUAUCUUUUAAAAAUACAAUUAGAAUAUUUUUAUCAUUUCUGUUGUGUCUGUACUCUUACAAAAUUCUCUUAAAACUGAAAAUUU